rnacentral:rRNA from 1 species
UACGAAGGGUGCAAGCGUUACUCGGAAUUACUGGGCGUAAAGCGUGCGCAGGCGGUUUUGUAAGUCUGUUGUGAAAUCCCCGGGCUCAACCUGGGAAUGGCAAUGGAGACUGCAAGGCUAGAGUUUGGCAGAGGGGGGUAGAAUUCCACGUGUAGCAGUGAAAUGCGUAGAUAUGUGGAGGAACACCGAUGGCGAAGGCAGCCCCCUGGGUCAAAACUGACGCUCAUGCACGAAAGCGUGGGGAGCAAACAGG